CCUGGAGCUGCCUGCGAUCAAAGACCACCAUCUUGAACAGCGAAGAUGAGGAGCAGAGGCCUGGAAGUGGUUUACCAACAGAUGACUAUGGAUGCCCCACAUGUGCUGCUUCAUCUGACUGUUGUGUCAGAGGAAAGAAUGCCACUAUCCUGUCUGAAAAUUCAGCCCAAAGGCUUUCUCCGUACAUCAAAAUAGUUUGCUUCUCUUCCUUCCCUGGCGUGUUUGACCAAGGCCCCAGAGAACGUGUAUCUCAGAAGCCUCCCUGACCUUGUUCCCUUCCAUCAGGACAGAGAUGUUAAAGGCUGGCAGAGCUCUGGGUACUUGAACUGAUGUCUGAGCCUGGAGGGAUAGAGUGGAAUACAUGGACUGCAGGCCCCAGCCAGGACUUCCUGAGAUUAAACAUGUUCCUCCUUCUCUUCCUGUCAUGCUCUGAUGAAAAAAGCCAGGUAGACCAGGUUUGAAUCCCAGCUCUGACACUUCAUAAUCGUGCAGUCUUUCGGCAGAUUGCACAAGCUGUCACUCUUAGUUUCCUCACCUGUUAAAUGGGAAUGGCAAUAGCUAAUUUGUAAAGUGUUGAGAGAUUAUGUAUCACACGAGUGUGAAUCCUUGUUCUGUUACACGCUGGCUUAGAGAUCGUGGAAGGAUCACUUACCCUCUGUGUGUCACAGUUGCCUCUUCUGAAAAACACGCUGAAAGAAGCGCGUACCUCAGCUGAUUAUCAGUGGGUAGGUUGGUGGUGAAGGGUGUGGCCUCUGAAAUGAGACCCCUUGGAUGUGAAUUUCAGGUCUGUUCUUUCCCACCUGUGUGACCUUGGGCGAUCCAUUCAACCUCUCUGUGCCUCAGUUCUGACAUCUUUAAAAUGGGACUCAUGCUAAGUACCAACCUGUAGUAUCAGUCAGGGUAGUGCCGAUCUCUGCUGUGAGGGGUAAGUAAAUUAAUAUCCACCAAGCACAUAGAGCAUGGCCUGACAUGUUGCAAUUUCUGUGUGUUAGAAAUUACUGCUGAGGAAACUUAGUGAAAUGAUACAGAAGAAAUCACCAGAAAGGUGUCUGGUACGUACUAAUCCUUCGAUAACUGUCGGCUAAGGCAGCUGGAACACAGGGCGAGUCUUCAAUAAAUAUUACUUCUCUUCCUCUGUCUCAGGUGUGUGGACUGCGGAGCUCUCCUCUUAGCUGAAUUACACAGGCCAGGUAGGCAGGUGGAGAAACCCUGAAGCUGAGGCUAGCGGGGCAUGGGGGAUGGGGCCUUAAUGGAGCUUAGAGGCUGUUCACUCCAACAACACUCUUGGUUAAAAUGCCACCAAGGAACAAAGUACUGCCCUAAGCAUUCUUAUUUUUGGUCAAUAUGCUGCAAGGAAGCAAAGGAAACAGAGGGCUAAAUUAAAGCAGGAUUUAUAAAUACUUUAAUAAUGAUGAAUAAACGAUUCACCAAAGUUGCUUGCGAAGUAAAUUAUUCCAAGAUGCACAGAAAGCUGUCAGAGUGAUUUUAAACUAGUUAAUAGAUGAUAUUACAACUUGCGAGGAAGCACCUCAGAGCAGCAGCUCAAGCAAUUAUUUAUGCCUCCGCACA